GCCUGGGCUAGUGGAAGGUGUCCCUGCCCUCAGAACGAGAUGAGCUGUGAGGUCCCUCCCAACCCAAACCAUUUUGCGAUUCCUCAUCCUUUGGCUGAAGAAAAAUGAUGCAGCAACGACCCUUCAGGGAGGAGACUGCUGUGGGGAUUAAAUUCAGGCUGGAGAAGGAUCCUUUGAUGCCAUCCUACGUGGAUAGGGGGGACUGGAUGAUACACCUGAUACUAAGAUGCAGUCAGCUCACAGAGAGCAAGGAGAGGUGGAGAGGACCCAUCCACGCUGGCCAACAAGGUGAUGGCCACGCUGCAGCUCCAGGGUGCACCUUCCUCCCACCCUCCUCACCAGAAGAUGAUGGGCUUAACUCAUCCCAUGGAUUCUUGGGAUAAAGAUGACCAGGACACUAUACCACAGGCUUGGAAGGACCUACCAAAGCAACCAAAAUCUCCUGUAGCUGGUGCUUGGUGGGAACGAGGUGGGUCUUUGCUAUCGGGAAGACCCCUCUGUGACCUUGGAGCGUGUUCCCUCUUCCCCAGCGUCGCUGGUGCUGCUUGGAGCUGAAUGCAGAGCUCCUUUGGGAGUUUUCCACAGGGUGGGAUGCUCAGUGUCUCCUGAAAAAUCCCUUGAAAGGCUCCCAGGGCCUCCCUGGGACAUGGAGGGGCCACAAGUCAACCGGACCCCGCCGUUCUGAACUCAUUUCCCUAAAGCCUUGCACAGGGAAGAGAGUGAGACCAGGACCCAAGCCCAAGGUUGUGCAGCUCCUGUUGAGGCAGGAACAUGCCUUGGUGGGACCAAGAGCCUGGACCAAGACCCAAAUAUUGCCAGGCAAGAGCUGCUGGACUCUUUGGUGCCAUUUGCUCUUAAAAAAUAAAUGCUGCUACUUAAAACAGGUGUUGCUGCCCAGUGGGAAAGUCUGAAUGUGAAGGGAAUCCCUCACCCCAUGUGGGGAUAAAUCUGUUCCCAAGUACUAAAACUCUCCCUGGGAGGGUUCAGCUCAGGACCUGGGCUCUUGGGGGUCCAACCUCUGCCUUGGGGGUGGUUCCUGAGGAGUUUGGGGUUUUUUUGGGUCAGUUGUUACCCUGUGUGUGAAGAUGCACCACAGCCCUGGUUGCAGCACUGUGUUUCCUUUAAAGCCAAGGACAGCAAGGCAAGGUAGGGUUUCACGAGGGUGUAGGAUUUCUGAAUCUGAGUCUUUCCUGAGACAAACUCUAAUCCUCACCUGCGUGUCAGAGACGUGCAGGCACUUGCCACGUCCAGAACCACCCAGGAUCCUCCUAUUGCUCAGGGAAGGGCUGUCAUUUGGGCUGGUUGAACAACACUGUAGGUGAGUGACUGGUUUUAAUUGUAUUUAUUGUGCUUAUAGAGGCCUGUAGGACAUUGAUGAUAUAAUGGAAAUAUAACCAUUAUAGCCCCACACCCAUGGAAAGUUCCCACCUACAUUAAGCCACUUAUUUUACUCUGUUAUCACUAGGAUAUGAAAGAAUCACCUGGAUGAAAAGGUUUCCCUUUAUCUCCAGCUAAAUUGAUGUUUGAUUUUUAUACCAAAUUGUGCUGAUACAGGAUUUUUGGCUGCUCUUGGUUUUGUGCCUCAACCUACACAGAAACACUCUGUGCUUUGAGAAUUUACAGCCUCUGUUUCUCUUCCAAGGCUUAAAUAAAGUGGUCACUUUUAGCUGUGA